rnacentral:rRNA from 1 species
GGGCUUGAGUGUGGUAGGGGCAGAGGGAAUUCCCGGUGUAGCGGUGAAAUGCGUAGAUAUCGGGAAGAACACCAGUGGCGAAGGCGCUCUGCUGGGCCAUCACUGACGCUCAUGGACGAAAGCCAGGGGAGCGAAAGGGAUUAGAUACCCCUGUAGUCCUGGCCGUAAACGAUGAACACUAGGUGUCGGGGGAAUCGACCCCCUCGGUGUCGUAGCCAACGCGUUAAGUGUUCCGCCUGGGGAGUACGCACGCAAGUGUGAAACUCAAAGGAAUUGACGGGGGCCCGCACAAGCGGUGGAGUAUGUGGUUUAAUUCGAUGCAACGCGAAGAACCUUACCAGGGUUUGACAUCCUGCGAACCUCUUGGAAGCGAGAGGGUGCCUUCGGGAACGCAGUGACAGGUGGUGCAUGGCUGUCGUCAGCUCGUGUCGUGAGAUGUUGGGUUAAGUCCCGCAACGAGCGCAACCCACGUCUUUAGUUGCCAGCAUUUAGUUGGGCACUCUAGAGAGACCGCCGGUGAUAAACCGGAGGAAGGUGUGGAUGACGUCAAGUCAUCAUGCCCCUUACAUCCUGGGCUACACACGUACUACAAUGCUACGGACAAAGAGCAGCAAGUUCGCGAGGACAAGCAAAUCUCAUAAACCGUGGCUCAGUUCAGAUCGUAGGCUGCAACUCGCCUACGUGAAGGAGGAAUCGCUAGUAAUCGCAGGUCAGCAUACUGCGGUGAAUACGUUCCCGGGCCUUGUACACACCGCCCGUCACACCAUGGAAGUUGGCCACGCCCGAAGCCGUUACUCCAACCCUUGUGGAGGAGGACGUCGAAGGUGGGGCUGAUGACUGGGGUGAAGUCGUAACAAGGUAACCGUA